CAUAAUUGGACACGGAUCUCAGUCAGGGAAAGAGGCAGCAGGAGUUUGCUUCCCAAAGCCUGUGUGUGGCCUGAGCACCAUUCGCCAGUCUGCUGCUGAUCAGUAUGUUAUGUGGAUUCAGGGAUGACGUUUCCUCUGGCUGGGGGUUUAGAACAAGUGGUCACAAUUUCCUGGAACAGGGUAAGCCAUUUAUCAGUGAGAUGAGCAGAAACUCCUUGGCUUCCUGACUUAUCAAGAACAGCAAAACAGUUGACUUGCCCAAGCCCAUCCUGUCUAUGGAUCAAACGUCG